GUCUGCGCAUGUGUCAGUCGUUUGUCAGAUUCUGACGAAUGGAUAUUCUCGUUCACUUUCGUGACAUUUAUAUUCGUGUACUAUCGUGUACUAGAAGUCAGUUCCCGUUUUAUCAUUAUUGGAAUCGAUUAGAAUGGCUCUUAGCUGAAGCUUCUCUCUUCUCUGAAGCUUAUUCUGAAGACUGAACAACAAGGGAAGAGGUAUAAAGCUUUGUCAAGCUUGUUAAGGUCAGAUAUUUUUGUGUGGGCCCUAUGGCCGGCUAUGCUAUCAAGUCUUGUUCAUGUUUGGCAAGAAUGUAGGUAGACUAUAGUUUCAUCAUUAAUAUGGUGGAUCAAGUGAAGAGUGUGAGCUAGAGAACUUGGUGCUGCCAUCAUCAGCUCGUCGACAAUGACACUAUAACCGAGAAAUUUAAUAUGUAUAGAUCUACACGUAUUUAAAAUGUCUACUUCUCUGUACAGGAGCAAUGGCUAAUAUCCAGCUAUCCCAACAGUGCUCCUCUUAGCUAUACUAACGGACGAGACUGGACAGUUUGAGACACAGGACUGGAGUAUGACCUGCUCAUUCGAGCGUUGCUGGGUAGCUCAGAGACAUCAAGAGAAUCUACGUUUUCUCAAGCAAUGAGUUACGAGUUGGGGCCUAGAAUCAGAGAAGUCCAGCAGCCUGCUAAAUCUUUUUGAAACGUAAUUUGAAGGCAUUCAAUCAUCCUGAAGUUGCCCUGGGUCACUGUAAUUGUGCUGCAGCACAACUGGCAACUCCCCAGGCCUUUGUGAAGCAGCUCCCUAUGUGCAUCUUUUGUGUACUCACUCUGUGCAUUUUCUGUGUACAAAUUUCAAUUAUUGAUUUAUUAAAUAUUUUUGCCGACCACAAA